UACGUAGGGUGCAAGCGUUGUCCGGAAUUAUUGGGCGUAAAGAGCUCGUAGGCGGUCUGUCGCGUCUGCUGUGAAAACUCAGGGCUUAACCCUGAGCUUGCAGUGGGUACGGGCAGACUAGAGUGCGGUAGGGGAGACUGGAAUUCCUGGUGUAGCGGUGAAAUGCGCAGAUAUCCGGAGGAACACCAGAGGCGAAGGCGGCCCACUGGGCUGCACCUGACGCUGAACCGCGAAAGCCAGGGGAGCGAACGGG
rnacentral:rRNA from 1 species